rnacentral:tRNA from 2 species
GGAGGCGUAGUCCUAACUGGUAAGGCAGCGCACUCGAAAUGCGCCGGGAGCAAUCCUUUGGGGGUUCGAGUCCCUCCGCCUCCG